AUUGUCAGUUCAAAACCUCAAGCAUCUGCUUUCAUGGAUUUGGAGUGGAGCAUUCAGUGGGGCAGAAGCUCAAACUUUGGUCUCCUCCAUUUCCCUGGCAUGUAAACCUCUCCUCCUCUCCAGGAAGAGCCUGUAGGCUAUAAUCAGAGCUCACCAUUAUUAUUAGUUUGGCAGUCAGAAGAUAUGGGACCUUCCUGGGUUUGUGUUUUCAAGAAAAGAGGUUCUAGGGAAGUGAGUCAGAAGGCAAGAUACAGAGAAAGUACCACGUGUUCUACCUCUGGCAAAAGGAAGGAGAACUUUUUACUGACACAAGCUGAAUAAACUAAGCUACCUUGCCUCUUGGCACUUGGAAAUGGUAAACGGAGAAUGUACCCAUAAAAAGUAGCACUCAACAUCUCACUGACUAAUCUCUCUUGGGUUAGGUUCUCCGUGGACUUUGGCAUGUGAGUGUACUAGGAGUUGUCUACUAUGUGUAAAGUUCUAGCAGCUGUUGGCUUUUCCACUUUGCUUGUUAAAAGAUUAUUAGCCUCUUCCUGUUCUGUCCUCUGUAUUCACACUCGUUGGAGUGCACAUUCCUCAUGUAACAAACUUCCUAUAAUCAUCUAAAAGCCACCUGAGAAAGGUCCUGGAAUGAUCUGGAAGCAGGUGCUGGAAUCAAGCUUACAUUGCUGAUAACCUGCCUCUCUAACUCUGUCAUAAGUUGUUUUACUAGCCAUUGAUCUGCAAAGAAUCCUUCCAUUGUCAACAAACUCUACAUCCUCCAGUGAACUUUCAAGCUUACCUAAAUCCAAGAUGGAGGUGUAAUACUCAGGCAGUCUGGAAAUUGAGGGGAAACAACAUCCUUCUGAUCCCUGCCCAGGAGAUGUUUCCAACAUGAGCUUCAGAAAGUGAUCAAAGCAUUUUCCUUGAGACAUCAAAUAAAGAAGCAAAUGAGAUGGCUUCAGUGGGAUACCUAUCUCCCAGAUUAUCCUGGCACUGAUGAAAUCUGUUCUGCCUUUUCUAGAGCCACUUCAAAAAGUUUCAAGCUUUCAAGGCUGGAGUUGCUAGAGCAAAGCUUGGAUUAAUGCCUUAGAAAAAAACAUGGAAUAUGCAAAGACAGGAGAGGGCCGGAGCAACUGGAAAACAAACUCAUUAGUUAAUCAGGGAUUCCUUCCAUCCCUCUUCAGCCCUGCACCCAGGGCGUGCACUGGGGAUGCAUGCCCUGAUAUGCC
ensembl:lncRNA